GUGGUGAAGUCCUUAGGACUAUUUAGACUCGACAAAGGAGGAUUUGUCGCUUAAUCCUUAAACCUGUUCGCGACCAAAUGAUACGUUGUUACUAAGGAUGACAACGUUUAUCGAGCAUAGGUCAUUGUGUGCCAUAUGGGUUGGUUGUCCUCAUAACCAAGGAGUGUGGAGACACUGGUAUGACAUACAGGUGAGAUGUAAUGGUACAUCUGUACUGAACGUGACCGACUCCGGAGCUAUUUCUGCUGUCAAGAUUUGCUCCGAUGGGAUAUGGGUAUAAAUGUCCCUCCGACCUA
rnacentral:lncRNA from 1 species